GGUCCCAUCGUCUAGCGGUUAGGACAUCGGCCUCUCACGCCGAAAACUCGGGUUCGAUUCCCGGUGGGAUCA
rnacentral:tRNA from 1 species